CGCCGCGGUUAUACGAGAGGCUCAAGUUGAUAGUCACCGGCGUAAAGAGUGGUUAGGAACCCCAACACUAAAGCCGAACAUCUUCAGGGCUGUUAUACGCACCCGAAGAUAUGAAGAACCCCUACGAAAGUGGCUUUAAAAUUUCUGACCCCACGAAAGCUAGGAAA
rnacentral:rRNA from 1 species